rnacentral:rRNA from 1 species
AUACGGAGGGUGCAAGCGUUAUCCGGAAUCAUUGGGUUUAAAGGGUCCGUAGGCGGACUAAUAAGUCAGGGGUGAAAUCCCACAGCUUAACUGUGGAACUGCCUUUGAUACUGUUAGUCUUGAGUUAUAUGGAAGUAGAUAGAAUGUGUUGUGUAGCGGUGAAAUGCUUAGAGAUUACACAGAAUACCGAUUGCGAAGGCAGUCUACUACAUAUAUACUGACGCUAAUGGACGAAAGCGUGGGGAGCGAACAGGAUUAGAAACCCCAGUAGUCC